CCCUUAGAUGUUCUGGGCCGCACGCGCGCUACACUGAUGCAUUCAACGAGCCUAUCCUUGACCGACAGGUCCGGGUAAUCUUUGAAUCUGCAUCGUGACGGGGAUAGAUUAUUGCAAUUAUUAAUCUUCAACGAGGAAUGCCUAGUAGGCGCAAGUCAUCAGCUUGCGUCGAUUACGUCCCUGCCCUUUGUACACACCGCCCGUCGCUCCUACCGAUUGAGUGUGUUGGUGAGGAGUUCGGAUUGGCUCUUAGUGGUGGUUCGCCACCACCUAGAGCUGAGAAGUUCUCCAAACCGCCCCACUUAGAGGAAGGAGAAGUCGUAACA
rnacentral:rRNA from 1 species